GCGGGGGUGUCAGAGCCUGGUCAAUGGAAAUGCGAAGCAGUGAAAUGCGAGAGCUCGACCUGCUCGCGAGAACGCGAGCUCGCGUUCAACUCUCUCGCUCGCUCAUCUACCUCGCAUUUCAGACCAAAUGAGCUAGCUUGAGGUGCUAGUCCCUUAGUGGGUGCGCGUGUUCGAAUCACGUCCCCCGCA
rnacentral:tRNA from 1 species